GGAAACUGAUCCUGUCAAUGGUCUUGCAAACACAGGGACCUUGUUUAAUUCAUGUUUUCCCUUAAGUGGAUUUUCCUCUUCAAUUGACCACUUUGUGGGUUGGUAAUGCUUGCACAUUUACCACCCUCAAGGUGAAAUGGCCAGAUCCCCAAAAGCUGCUCCUUGACCUGCGAGGAUGACAGUAGCAAGACUUCAGAGGAAGUAUCAGCAUCCCUCACCAGCCCAAAUACUGACAGCUCAGUGGGAACAUUAGGUUUGGAAAGUGUGAGAACACAAUCUGAAAACAAUUCCCAGUUGACUGAGGAAGAAAUGCCCCAGGCACAGGGAGCACUGACAGAGACCAGCACUUGCAGCCCCAGGAAUGACAAUGUGGUGUCAGUGAUGACAGCGUUCAUCCACAAGCCCAGGGAAAAACAAGAACAGCAGACAGGCAUGUGGGCUACAAUGACCCUCAUUGCUGUAAGCUGUAGAGGUCUAAUAAAUCACAUGACUACCUGUCUGCCUCCAUGACCCAGUUGCCAGCUGCCCAGAAAGUGGGUCCCCCAUCCUCAGGGUCUGCAUGUGCUCUGGGACUGCACUGUUCCAGUCACUGGUAUUCAGGCCUGAAGGCAAGGCAACAGGGGAACAUGGGCCCCUUCCUUACAAGGAGACAGGUUGGAGUCACUAUGCACCAAGCCACAUGAGAAACCACAUAUUUCCCCCCUCUGAAGUCUCUGCUCAGAACACUCCAUAGGUGGCUGAGCCCUUCAUCUACACCCUGCCUGUCCUCUUUGACACUUGGAAAUUCAUGCCAAGGAGAGUCAACUUACAUUUGGCAGGGAGAACCGUGAAAAGUCUGGCUCAUCCAGACAUAAGUUUCCCCGGGGCCACCCAACCAAGCCUCCAGGAACAAGGGGGUCAGGGAGAGGCUGAAUAAGUUGGAGAUGUUUUUCCUGGAGCAUUGGGGGCUGAAUGGUGACCUUAAAGUGGUUUAUAAAAUCAUGAACGGCAUGGAUAGGGUAAAUAGACAAGGUCUUUUUCACUGGGGUGGGUGACUCCAGAACUAGAGAGCAUAGGUUUAGGAUCAGAGGAAAAAAAAAUUAAAAUAGACUUAAGGGGCAACUUUUUCAUGCAAAGGGUGGUGUGUGUAUGGAAUGAGCUACCAGAGGAAGUAGUGGAGGCUGGUACAAUUACAACUUUUAAAUGGCAUCUGGAUGGGUAUAUGAAUAGUGUUACCACAAAGGGUAAAUCCCCCUGCUUAAUUUAAACCGGCAACACAGAAAGAUUUAUCCUGUGCAGUAAUCUGUGAAAAUUCCAA